GAAAUGCGAUAAGUAAUGUGAAUUGUAGAAUUCAGUGAAUCAUCGAAUCUUUGAACGCACAUUGCGCCCCCUGGUAUUCCGGGGGGCAUGCCUGUUCGAGCGUCAUUUCACCACUCAAGCCUCGCUUGGUAUUGGGCGACGCGGUCCGCCGCACGCCUCAAAUCGACCGGCUGGGUCUUUCGUCCCCUCAGCGUUGUGGAAACUAUUCGCUAAAGGGUGCCGCGGGAGGCCACGCCGUAAAACAACCCCAUUUCUAAGGUUGACCUCGGAUCAGGUAGGGAUACCCGCUGAACUUAAGC
rnacentral:misc_RNA from 1 species